CACCGACACUGCUAUGGGUUUUCCUUAUCCUAAAACCCUAUCAUGCUCCUCUUCGUCGACUAUUUUAUUACUAGGCUAGCCCAUCGACUCAAUGGCCGACGCCCUCCCCCUCUCUGGCCGGAUAGCCAUCGUCACCGGCGCCGCCCGCGGAAUUGGCCGUGGUGUCGCCGUCCACCUUGCCUCCCUCGGCGCCUUCCUCGUUCUCGGCGACUGCUCCGACACCCCCAAUUUAGAACAACUUGCCGCCGAGCUCAAUGCCUCCACUGAUCGCCCACCUCGCGCCAUUGCCCUCCGCGUGGACAUCUCUGACGCCGGUGCCGUCAAAUCGCUCUUCGACGCCGCAGAAUCCACCUUCGGCGGCCGCGCUCACAUCAUCGUCACCUGCGCCGCGAUCUGCGACUACGACUACCCAUUCCUGGCUGAAACCACCGAAGAGGUCUGGGACCGCACGUUGGCCGUCAACGCCCGAGGGAGCUUCCUUUGCUGCCGGGAGGCCGCGAAUCGGCUGGUCCGCGGCGGAGCGGGGAGGAUCGUGUGCUUCUCGUCCUCGGGGGUGGGCGCGCUACGUCCGGGUUACUCGGCGUACGUGGCGUCGAAGGCGGCGGUGGAGGUGAUGGUGAAGGUGCUGGCGAAGGAGCUGAAGGGGACGGGGAUCACGGCCAACUGCGUGGCGCCCGGGCCGGUGAAGACGCCGAUGUUCUACGGGGGGAAGAGCGACGAGGUGGUGCAGAGCGUACUGGAGGAGAGUCCGAUGGGGCGACUGGGGGAGGUGGAGGACAUCGCGCCGGUGGUGGGGUUCCUGUGCACCGACGGCGCCGGGUGGGUGAAUGGGCAGGUCGUCCGAGUCAACGGAGGCUACGUUUGAUUUGAUCCCUCUCAGUAUUCAGUUAUCAGGAUUCCGGCUCGCCGUCUUCAGCUCCCCGUGUUCCAUUUUCCGUCUUGAUUCUCUGUUAUGUGCACUGUUCCCGGCCAUGAAUGCUGGUUUCUCUUGCUGCUCCGUUGUGAUUGUCGAUCUAUAGAUCUGAUGGAUGCAUUUCGUCAAAUGGUUCUGCACUAUUCGUCCGCAGGAGCAGCCGACUCUCAGGUUAACUCGUGUCUCGUGUCUCGUGUCUCGUGUCUCGUGUCUCGUGUCUCGUGUCUCGUGUCUC